UGCGUAGGCGGGUUAAUAAGUCAGUGGUGAAAGACUGCAGCUUAACUGUAGAAUUGCCAUUGAUACUGUUAACCUUGAGUAUAGUUGAGGUGGGCGGAAUGUGUCAUGUAGCGGUGAAAUGCUUAGAUAUGACACAGAACACCGAUUGCGUAGGCAGCUCACUAAACUAUUACUGACGCUGAGGCACGAAAGCGUGGGGAGCGAACAGGAUUAGAUACCCUGGUAGUCC
rnacentral:rRNA from 1 species